UACGAAGGGGGCUAGCGUUGUUCGGAAUUACUGGGCGUAAAGCGCACGUAGGCGGACUCUUAAGUCAGGGGUGAAAUCCCGGGGCUCAACCUCGGAACUGCCUUUGAUACUGUGAGUCUCGAGAGCGGCAGAGGUGAGUGGAAUUCCUAGUGUAGAGGUGAAAUUCGUAGAUAUUAGGAAGAACACCAGUGGCGAAGGCGGCUCACUGGUACGGUUCUGACGCUGAGGUGCGAAAGCGUGGGGAGCAAACAGG
rnacentral:rRNA from 1 species